UAACCAUGUGGCACCCAUAUUGCGUGGAGCUAAUUGAUUGGGCCAAUACCAGGAUUGACUUAGAAGAGAGGGAUAGGAUGUCGGUGCUGUUCUACAUAGAAGCACUCUUGACUUUGCAGCACCUACAGAGACCAAGUGUUGCUCAGAACAUGACCGUUCAACAGUGGCUGGAGAGGACACAAUACCAGAAUCACACUACAGACAGUGUAGCAGCUGUCAUAAGGGUGAAGGCUGCAGCACAUCAUGGUCCUCCAAGGAGGUUGAAAUGAUGUGGUUCUACAACUUUUUCAGAAGAGUCCAACCAACUUUUGUUAAGAGGAGCAUGAAAGGAGACAAUGGAUACUUUGUCUUAAUAAAGGAGAAACAAUCCAAAACCCAACAACUGAUGUCCGCAGAUUCCAAAUAAAAUGCUACAUUUUUUAUAUGGACACUGACAGCAGUUUGAAAGACCAGGAGCUGAUUAAAAGGUUUCUGAGGGCAGAUUCCAACCUAAAUGAGAGCAACAUCAAAGAGUAUAUGCGUGCUGCAAUCAGAGUGAGUGAGCUACAGAGGACAUGGGCUGAACCUUCACACUCAAAGGUUAGUUUAGCUAAUGGAGUGAGCAUCAGUGGCAGUAGCCUUUGUAGUUGUUGAUGUCUUGUUAAGUUGUUCUUCUAUAACAUCAACUUGAUUUUGCUUUCCAGAGAUGGAGAAGUGCCUCGGACACACCAAGACAAGCCAUCAGAGAAAGAGCUCUCAUACAAGCAUAUAGAGGACAUGUUUCCAGUGGGCCCUGACACCAAUGGACCAAUGCUGAAACAGUGCCAGGCAGUUUUGUAACUACAUGGAAAAUACUGCUAUGACAGAUGGAGGCGGCAGCAGACAGAGAUCCGUAUGGAUGCCGUCAUUGGUAAUAAUCAUUGAAUUGUCUUUUUUUUCUGUAGCAGUACAAAAACUCUUUAAUUUUGUUUCAGCAUAUUACAAGCAUGACAAGCUGACCCCCAUCCUAGUCCACAGCUACCUGAAGUGACAAGGGUGGUUUAAGCAUGUUCCAACUGUGGAGGAGAUCCUGCAACAAUGGGAGGCCAGAGACCAGCCAAAAAGAGACGACAAAGACAGAAUUAAAAGUUUCAUCCACACUCAGCAGUGGCCAGAACUAGCCAUUGUAGAUGACCCAGACAAAGGGGAAAAAAGUGGUGACUCUCCAGGAUUUUUAAAAGGAAGACUAUAUUUGUGACUUCUACAGCCCGAUCAUUUCUGCAAAGGAGGGGGCGGUGAAGAUCAAGUGGGCCUCAGAAAAAGGCUCAAAUGAAGGAGGCUGGAUUGUACAAUCGGCAUCCAUUGAACCCCCACUUCUGACAGCGUUCACACAUUUCCUGACACAUAUUUUGGGUGUCACAGGUACAAACAGGAGGUAAGUAACUUUCAGAACUGAUGGUUUAUGAUCUUCUACCUUUUAGGCAAGCUUUUUCAUUUUAGUUUAACAUCUGCUGCAUCAUAUUGAGGCCUCUAGUUCCAUCAAGUUUUUAUUUACUUAUUCUUUGCCUUUAUGGGGAAGCUCUAGGGAGGGGUGGCAGAUAAUUUUGUGAAUACCCUAAUGCUUUAUUAUGUGGCCUUUAUCCAAGCCAACCAACGGAAAUCUCCUAAUGUCUUUGCCAAUACAGUUGUAUGUAUGAAAUCUCAUUUUUUUUCCUGUGUUAUUCUUCGGUGGAAGACGUGGCUGGGUUCUUGUAUUUCAUGAACCCUGCAAGAAGCUAACCUAGAAUUUGUGAAAAACCUCCACAAGACCAAUGUGUUUUCCACAAAACUGCAGGGGAUGGUCACGCACCAGACAGUGUUUAAUUAUUUGAAUCUUGUGCGACAAUUUAUCACCUCUCAGUUAAUGAACACAAACUUGGGCUCAACUGAUCCGUCCAUAUAUAGUACCUGCAAUAACUAUGAAAUCACCGACACCCUUCAAAAAAUAUUGCGGGAAGUUGUCAAGACAAGAGUUAAUCUAACAUGACCUAUAUUAACAUUUCCUUUCAGCCCUCUGCUUUUUUAGAAGCAUUAUAAAUAAUUUUAUAUACAGGUACAAUUCCUAAACCGGUAAAAGACCGGGAAAAGACCAG